rnacentral:pre_miRNA from 1 species
UCUUAUGGAUGAGCAACGAAAGUGACUUCUUAAAGUGGAAUCUACUCUUUGUGAAGAUGCUGUGAA